rnacentral:rRNA from 1 species
UAGUGGCGGACGGGUGAGUAACGCGUGAGCAACCUGCCUAUUAGAGGGGGAUAACUACGGGAAACUGUAGCUAAUACCGCAUACGCUGCUUAUGAGGCAUCUCAUGAGCAGGAAAGGAGCAAUCCGCUAAUAGAUGGGCUCGCGUCUGAUUAGAUAGUUGGUGAGGUAACGGCUCACCAAGUCAACGAUCAGUAGCCGGACUGAGAGGUCGAACGGCCACAUUGGGACUGAGAUACGGCCCAGACUCCUACGGGAGGCAGCAGUGGGGGAUAUUGCACAAUGGGGGAAACCCUGAUGCAGCGACGCCGCGUGAAGGAAGAAGGCUUUCGGGUCGUAAACUUCUGUUUUCAGGGAAGAUAAUGACGGUACCUGAAGAGGAAGCCACGGCUAACUACGUGCCAGCAGCCGCGGUAAUACGUAGGUGGCGAGCGUUGUCCGGAAUUACUGGGUGUAAAGGGUGCGUAGGCGGGACGGUAAGUCAGCUGUGAAAGGUACAGGCUCAACCUGUGCACUGCAGUUGAAACUGCUGUUCUUGAGUAGAGGAGAGGUAAACGGAAUUCCCAGUGUAGCGGUGGAAUGCGUAGAUAUUGGGAGGAACACCAGUGGCGAAGGCGGUUUACUGGACUCUAACUGACGCUGAAGCACGAAAGCGUGGGGAGCAAACAGGAUUAGAUACCCUGGUAGUCCACGCCGUAAACGAUGGAUACUAGGUGUGGGGGGACUGACCCCUUCCGUGCCGGAGUUAACGCAAUAAGUAUCCCACCUGGGGAGUACGACCGCAAGGUUGAAACUCAAAGGAAUUGACGGGGGCCCGCACAAGCAGUGGAGUAUGUGGUUUAAUUCGAAGCAACGCGAAGAACCUUACCAGGGCUUGACAUCCCAGGAAUCGGGUGGAAACAUCCGAGUGCCCUUCGGGGAAUCUGGAGACAGGUGGUGCAUGGUUGUCGUCAGCUCGUGUCGUGAGAUGUUGGGUUAAGUCCCGCAACGAGCGCAACCCUUGUUGAUAGUUGCUACAUUCAGUUGAGCACUCUAUUGAGACUGCCGUUGACAAAACGGAGGAAGGUGGGGACGACGUCAAAUCAUCAUGCCCCUUAUGUCCUGGGCUACACACGUACUACAAUGGCGAUGAACAGAGGGAAGCAAGACCGUGAGGUGGAGCAAAUCCCUAAAAAUCGUCCCAGUUCAGAUUGUAGGCUGAAAUUCGCCUACAUGAAGGUGGAAUUGCUAGUAAUCGCGGAUCAGCAUGCCGCGGUGAAUACGUUCCCGGGCCUUGCACACACCGCCCGUCA